AAAGACGUCCUUGAAACAACCCCCCGAGCCUAGACAGAGACCAGACGACAAUGCACAGGCAAACAUGGGUGCAAUAUAUGAAACGCCCUCAGCUAUAAGACAGAGAACACCAUCAGAGCAGCAGGACGACCUCUGCUAUGCCAGUGUGAGCUUCUCUAAAAACCAGGAAGAUCCUCUCUACUCCAACGUCAGGCUAAACCAACCCAACAGACACAGGGAGGAAGAAGAGGACGAGGAUGAUGUGGAGUACUCUGUUGUUAACUUUAAACGUGCUGGUGCUGCCACAGAAUCAAUACAAGAAGAGCCUGCGGAGGAUUUAUAUGCACUUUACAGCAAAGUCAACAAAAAACCAAGAGUAUGAAUACAACACGAGUCUGUGGUCUCUUAAACAAUGUUUAAGCAGGUUAAACACAGAGUUAUAAAUAAUAGGUGUGAGACAAUAAACUGUAUUAACUGUUGUCAUGACGUCAUUUCUCUUGACAAGGUACAAGUAUCAGUUAGCUAACACCUGUAAUUUACGUAUCCCAAGACAGAAUUAGAUUCAAGAUGUUACCAAGGAGCAAUAUUUUACUGCCAGUGCUGCUACAUGACAUUUUCAAAAUCAUCUCAAUCAUUUCUCUUUAUACAGUCAACACGUUCUCAUCCCAACUCCACAAAUAUUACCGCUUUGUCAGUGGACUUUCACGUCUAGCUAUGACUAGUUAGCCUCCUGCAUCUGUUGUUGACGUUCCGGGACGGCCUGUCAGUUUACCCUUGUUACAUGCAUUGUGUCUUUUCAUUAAAUGCACACAGUCUUUUUGAAAUUAAACCCACAACUUUGUUUUUAAGUUCAUUUCCUUGUGCAACAAAAGCACAUGAUAAGGUUUAGGAGAAAAACAUCAUGGUUUGGCUUCAAACUCACACGGAAAGCAGAAAAACGGGCUCCCAGGUGAAUGUCCGGGAUUGGUUGGACCCAUCCACCUCCCCGACACCUGGCAGUGUAUUAUAGCUGUCAUCAGUGCCUUUGUUCAUUAGUAUCUUGCACCUAAAAGUGGCAGAAUUUGAUGAGUUGGGAAUGAGACAGUACAGUGUAUCUGUACUGCAAUCUUUCCUGCUUUUCUGUGGGUUUUUGCGGUUAAAUUAUCAGUUUUUAUUGUAAAAUAUUGUGAAUAUUCCGCUGCUCAUUUCGCCAAUUUUUACUUCUGUUGCAUCAUAAAUUAGUGUUAAGUACUUGUUUCACAGCUUAAAUUGUUUUUUUUUAACCAUUGUUUUCUGUGUAUUUGUAUGUAUAUGUCACCUCUACUGGAAGAUGCUCUGUGAAUAAUAUUUUUGCAAGGACCAAGUCUUAACUUUAAGCGUCACACUUUCUAAGUUUUGAACAGAAUUUUCCUAGAAUUUCAUCACAAGGAGCAACUCUU